rnacentral:rRNA from 1 species
GACGAACGCUGGCGGCGUGCUUAACACAUGCAAGUCGAACGGAAAGGCUCCAGCUUGCUGGACUACUCGAGUGGCGAACGGGUGAGUAACACGUGGGUGAUCUGCCCUGCACUUCGGGAUAAGCCUGGGAAACUGGGUCUAAUACCGGAUAGGACCGCACUUUGGUGUGUGUGGUGGAAAGGUUUUUCUGGUGUGGGAUGAGCUCGCGGCCUAUCAGUUUGUUGGUGGGGUAAUGGCCUACCAAGACGGCGACGGGUAGCCGGCCUGAGAGGGUGGACGGUCACAUUGGGACUGAGAUACGGCCCAGACUCCUACGGGUGGCAGCAGUGGGGAAUAUUGCACAAUGGGGGAAACCCUGAUGCAGCGACGCCGCGUGGGGGAUGAAGGCCUUCGGGUUGUAAACUCCUUUCGCUAGGGACGAAGCUUUUUGUGACGGUACCUGGAGAAGAAGCACCGGCUAACUACGUG